rnacentral:rRNA from 1 species
UACGUAGGGUGCGAGCGUUGUCCGGAAUUAUUGGGCGUAAAGGGCUCGUAGGCGGUUUGUCGCGUCGGGAGUGAAAACACACAGCUUAACUGUGUGCUUGCUUCCGAUACGGGCAGACUAGAGGUAUGCAGGGGAGAACGGAAUUCCUGGUGUAGCGGUGAAAUGCGCAGAUAUCAGGAGGAACACCGGUGGCGAAGGCGGUUCUCUGGGCAUUACCUGACGCUGAGGAGCGAAAGUGUGGGGAGCGAACAGG